GACGAACGCUGGCGGCGUGCUUAACACAUGCAAGUCGAGCGGUGAAGCCCUUCGGGGUGGAUCAGUGGCGAACGGGUGAGUAACACGUGAGCAACCUGCCCCUGGCUCUGGGACAACCACUGGAAACGGUGGCUAAUACCGGAUACGACCCGCCUCGGCAUCGAGUGUGGGUGGAAAGUUUUUCGGCUGGGGAUGGGCUCGCGGCCUAUCAGCUUGUUGGUGAGGUGAAGGCUCACCAAGGCGACGACGGGUAGCCGGCCUGAGAGGGCGACCGGCCACACUGGGACUGAGACACGGCCCAGACUCCUACGGGAGGCAGCAGUGGGGAAUAUUGCACAAUGGGCGAAAGCCUGAUGCAGCGACGCCGCGUGAGGGAUGACGGCCUUCGGGUUGUAAACCUCUUUCAGCUCCGAAGAAGCGAAAGUGACGGUAGGAGCAGAAGAAGCACCGGCUAACUACGUG
rnacentral:rRNA from 1 species